rnacentral:rRNA from 1 species
GCUUAUCACCAUUCCAGAUUGAAUAUACCCGAUCUCGUCUGAUCUCGUAAGUCAAGCAAUCUCGGGCUUGGUUAGUACUUGGAUGG